AUUGAACGCUGGCGGCAGGCCUAACACAUGCAAGUCGGGCGGUAACAGGAAGUAGCUUGCUACUUUGCUGACGAGCGGCGGACGGGUGAGUAAUGUCUGGGAAACUGCCUGAUGGAGGGGGAUAACUACUGGAAACGGUAGCUAAUACCGCAUAACGUCGCAAGACCAAAGUGGGGGACCUUCGGGCCUCAUGCCAUCGGAUGUGCCAAGAUGGGAUUAGCUAGUAGGUGGGGUAAUGGCUCACCUAGGCGACGAUCCCUAGCUGGUCUGAGAGGAUGACCAGCCACACUGGAACUGAGACACGGUCCAGACUCCUACGGGAGGCAGCAGUGGGGAAUAUUGCACAAUGGGCGCAAGCCUGAUGCAGCCAUGCCGCGUGUAUGAAGAAGGCCUUAGGGUUGUAAAGUACUUUCAGCGGGGAGGAAGGUGUUGAGGUUAAUAACCUCAGCAAUUGACGUUACCCGCAGAAGAAGCACCGGCUAACUCCGUGCCAGCAGCAGCCGCAG
rnacentral:rRNA from 1 species